rnacentral:lncRNA from 1 species
AUUUCUCAUUCAUAUACACACAUAUCUGUACAUGCCACAUAUAUCCACCAUACAUAAAUAGAAAUGUAUUUAUUUGUAUACAUAUAUGGGCAUAUGUGUCAUACGCACAUAUUGCAUAUGUUUAGAAAAGACAUCUUAAAAGCAUGCAAAUCAUCUUUACGUGUAUAGUUAAUACUCAUAGGUAAUGAUUGGUAAAGAAACAGGAUUUUCUUUUCAUUGUUGUUUUCUCUAUUCUUGAGCUUACAUCUAUCUCUGAAUCGCUACAGUCGCACAUGACAUUAGAGAUUUUCAGAGUCAUAAAGACCAUAAUCAGUGAGUCUUCUGAUUAUUUAUAUGUUGCCUUCCAUAAUACAUGAAACCACCCUGAAUCCUGUGGCUUGUCCAUUCUAUUUUUAGAUCUCAAGGCAGCAAAGGAGAAAUAUUUCUCCUCUGAUCUCCUCACUGCUUUAAGGCUAAGUUUAUAAGCCUAGCACCCAGUCAGAUUUCUAAGGCUCUUUAACUAGUGCAAGCUGUUGUUGAGGAGCAGGGGUAGGUACUUGGGUUUGGUCUGGGGUUGGAGCAGCUUGUCUUCCAGUAGGAGAAGCUAAUUAAAUCAUUGAGCACAGCAUGCUGUUUUAUUCAGUUAUGUUCUUUAAAAGUAAAAAUAGAUCUUUGUUAAAAAUGGCUCACCAUAACCACCAAGACUGCUAAUUGUUCUCUCCAACUAAAUUAUGUUCAUGUUAGGGAAAGAAAGACCAUGUAUUAAAUUAGCUAUCUGAACACACUGUAAUAUGUAUUUAGUAUCAACUCCCUCUGCCCACGUCUCAGAAAACGCUGCCUUUGCAACUCUCGGUUCUUCUCAGGACUGAGCUCCACAGUGAGCUGAUGAAAUGUCUUCUUCCAGGAUUACCAUCACUCUUGGCCUACCCCCCAGUUCUCUGGCUGAGGCAACAUUCCUGGUACCAGUGCCUAUCACUUUGUUUCAGGACUGCCUAAAUCUUCCCCACAUGUUAUGAUAAAAUUAUAUCAAGAUAAAAUUUCCCUUUGGGAGCUAAUACCAGUGUUGGCCAAAGAAUAAGUACAUGCCUACUGACCAUGGGCGCCUUAUAGAAUUAUGACCAGGUGAUUCUUAGAAGCAGAAGCAGUCAGGGAGGUUUAUUUUGUUUUUGUUCUAGUGACUGACCUGAGAGGUCACAGUCAUAGGCACUCCUUCCACAUCAGAUGGUGACAGCAGCAUGAGCUAUUAACAACCACCCAGAGAACUGGAUUGUAUAUGGGUUAUACCCUUGAGGGCAACCUGUGGAUUUUAAGGCUGUUAAUGCAGCUUAAUGAGAAACCUCAAAGCACAGAACAGCACAUGAACAGCCCGCUCAUGCAGAACAAUGAAAUUUAUUAUUCUGGUCCCAAACAGGAAGCAGAACAAUCCUAAAGUUAUUAAAGCAAAUACUUCAUAGCAGAACCUGAAUGUUGGCUGGCGUGUCACUCCAGGAAGUUCUGAUUAUAUAUGUAUUCAAUCAUGCUCAUCCAAUAAUAGGUUCAGAAACCUGUCUUGUUUUUUUAAACAUUUAUUUUAUCUAAGCAUUUCCUUUUUAUUUUUUUAAACAUUUCUUUCAAAAUACCUAUUACUCAUUGCGAUACUCAGUGAAAAUAUAGCUACCUAUGAAUGAAGUGGAUAAACAACUUCUGUAGACAGGGAACAAAAGAAAAAUCUAAAUAGUUUAAAUUCCUUAAAGGGUGUGUGUGUGUGUGUGUGUGUGUACUCUAGGGUACCUCAGUAUGUCCUGAAAGUUCAACAGAGUUUUUGUCAUGUUUGUUACUCCGGCUAGCAUAUUUUAGUUCUGUACAAGCAAAUGUUAAAUAGCAAAGCAAUAGUAUUAUUUUGUAUUUCCAUUUCCUUGGAAUCCUGGUAAUGGUCUAAAAAAAAAAAUCCUUGAAACUAAAGCUUUAAGAUGAAAGUUAGAAACUCUACUUAAGUAAAGGCUAAGAUUUAUUUAUCCCAGCCCUCGGGAGCUAAACCAGGAAUAAUAAGCAGAAUUUUCAGUGGGUUUUGAUUAAAUAUAAAGAAGAUGAAGUAUGAGUUGCCAAAUAGUGCAGUGGACAUGCAUACAGAGUUACAAACCUUCAACAUCUGGAAGCACUUAGGUGGGGGAUAUUUGACGAUCUUUAGGCAUGUCACUAGUAGGGACUCAAGAUCCGAAGGGGCUGUAAUUACAUUGUUAUUUUCUUUACAUCAUUUUGAAAAUGGCUUUGUCUCAUGGCAACAUUUGAUCUUUAAAAAUUCAUGAGAACCUUGAUUUCUUAAAACAUCAUUUUACACACAAGAAAGUUUAAAACAUUGGAGGGGGUGGUCUUUAGUUCUCAUUUAAAAAAUUUAAAACUAAGCACAGAUUCAAGAACUCAGAAAAGGAGAAAACAUAAGGAGAUAAAAAUUCAAAAUUCUUCUGGAAACAUUUUGGGUUUUGAUGAAUAUUUUUGGACAUUCUUAAGAAAAUCCAUAUAGGAAAUCUCACCAUUCUUUCAAUAUUAAAAAAAAAUUGCUGUGAUUUGAGAUUCUUAGAAUUAACUGUAACCUAAUCACAGAAGGAAAUUCUGUGCAGGGAUCUUUAGAAGCUAAGUAAAUGCUCUUGAAAAGCACCAUGGGAAAUCCCUUGGCUUCUGGUACCAGCAUGGUAAUUGCAAGGGAAGAAAUUCAGAACAAAACAGUGAGAUAGGUUUUCUCUCUGCUUCCAGUGUUCUAGUACCUGGAGGCCAGUGGUGUCUGAGCUGGCUGCCUUUGGUAGUGGGAGCAACUGGGACUCUCUUGUUUCUCAGCCCUUUGUUAAGACACACAUGUGGCUUACAAUAUAAAGUAAUUUAAAACAAUUAAACUAUUGUUUAUUAACAACUUCCCUACUUUUUUUUUAAAUCAGAGAUUUGAUAGUUUGAUGCAUUUUUGACAGUUCUGAACUUUUAUAUCUGAUACCAUUCCAUGCGGAGGAUAAUACAGGUAUGACAUUCCAAAUGAACAAACUGGGUCUUGACGUAGUGAAUUCAACUUGCACAGAAUCACACAGUUACAGGGUCCCCGUCAGAUUAGGAAGCUCUUGAAAUUUCAGACUAAUGUAUUCCAAAUUGAUGCUUUCUGGGAUAAUAGUUGUCCACCAUUGCCUUCAAUGGAGCUUUUAGAUCUGUUGUUCAGGUCUCCAUGAUACAAAGUUUCUCC